UGAAUACGACGGGGGAGCGCCCGACGAAGGGGGCGCUGAGAGUGCGGACGGCCGCAGACCCCAGAACCUGAUCUGAGUAAUGUCAGCGUAGGGAGUCGAGACGCGUGAAAC
rnacentral:ncRNA from 2 species